rnacentral:tRNA from 1 species
GCAUCAGUGGCCCAACCUAGAGCGCCAGUCUUGUAAGCUGGAGGUUGGAGGUUAGAGUCCUCCCUGCUGCU